rnacentral:rRNA from 1 species
UACGAGUGCCUCAAGCGUUAUCCGGAAUUAUUGGGCGUAAAGAGCUCGUAGGCGGUUUGUCGCGUCUGCUGUGAAAACUCGGGGCUUAACUCCGGGCCUGCAGUGGGUACGGGCAGACUAGAGUGCGGUAGGGGAGACUGGAAUUCCUGGUGUAGCGGUGAAAUGCGCAGAUAUCAGGAGGAACACCGGUGGCGAAGGCGGGUCUCUGGGCCGUAACUGACGCUGAGGAGCGAAAGCGUGGGGAGCGAACAGG